AGAGAGAAUGUUCAUCUCUAUGAUCCCUUUGGCGCCCUCGGAGGACAUUUCGCUUCCUUUCAAAUUGAAGAGGAAACAAUUCCCUGGAUGGAUCCUGGAAAGCCUCUUCCGGAACCAAGUCCCCUCCCCACUCGGAGUCCUCCGCCGCUGACGCAUGGGUAAGCGCAAGAGCUGUAGCCCGUCCACACGGUUCAGCGAGCUGCCGCCGUCGUAGAUAACCAAGACAUACACGGAAAUAAGCAAGAUUCAGUGCGCCGCCCUGCCCCCGCGCGUUCUGAGGGUGCGACGUCCUCGACGUGUCCAAGACAGGGUCCAGGAAGACCCUCUCCUUCGUGAUCCCGAUAGGCCCAAUCUUCCUCGACGAGGGGUUGUGAUGGCGGGCACAGCGUUGCUGGAUGACGCUGAGAGUAUAGUGGGUGGGUUCAAGUACAUCCCUCUGUGCCAGCAUGCAGCGGGUCUGCGGACAGGGAGAGCCAGGAAGAGAAUGUAGUCCUCGGCAGCCGAGCGGGAAGGGGGGCAGCUUGCCGUGAUUGAAGAACAUGACGACCAUGCUGAUACAAGGUCAGUGAUGUAGACAGGGAAGAUGGACCCUCAUGCCCCUGGGUGGACGAAGAGGAUUGGAGUAGGGAGCCAUCCACCGGAAAGGACCCCGUGUUCGGAGAAGGUUUGCGCACUUGAAAAGACGAUUAGUAUGUGAAGAAGUGCACCUUCACAGAUCUGAAUAUUGAUACCCUUCCUAAUCCUUAGUUUUGGGCCUUGUUCAACAUAUACAGAUAUACUACCAUCUUAGAGAAAUAUGUUGUUUAAAGAUAAAGAGGUGGAUAAGUUUCUGGCUUUAGUUACUGAAUAUCCAGAUCCGGUUUGCUUCUCAGCCAUGGCCUACAUUUAGAGAAGACAUGUUCAUAUGUAAGAGAUUUAAGGU